UUCAGGUUCUGAAAGCUGACUGCAGCCUUCUGCUUGAAAAAAGAGUGUACACUCUGCUUCAAGGUGUAACAGGAAUUAAAAUGUUAUUAAAACAUACCCAAUGUUACAGUACGUUACGAGUUGAGAAGCCAAUUGCAUUUCUUAGUAGGACCCGAUUCUAGCGCGAUUUACACCAGCAGCAUGGGUGUGUGGUUAAAUAAAUGGAGGCUGGGUGUUGUGUACAUCUUCCUUACCUGGGAAAGGGGAUCUGAGUGACAUCCCAGGAGUCCCAGGGAAUUCCAGCCGGGCUGCACCGGCCAGCCUGACGCACAUGAAGUCGUCCGCAGAAGAAGUCAGAAGAGAGGGAGCGGAGCUGCUCCUCGGUGAGGUGGAGAGGAUUCAAGCUGGGAGAAGGACCCCUGUCGGCGCCCGCAGAGACGUGUGGGACGGUCAGGGGUGCCGGGGCACCCACCGGUGAAGUGGAACGACCUGUGCCGCAGGUUGCGCACGGAGCCAGCGGAGCGCCGUGAGGACGAAACAAAUGGCACAGCGAAGCAACCAGAAGCAAUGGCAAGGGGUCCCGACAAACAGGCAGAGGAGGAGAGCGUCCUUGUCGUGAUGACUGAGCGGCCCAGGGUUUGAGAAGAGAGGCUACAGACGCAGCUCUGUUCUCUAAAAGACAUUCCAAGUUCCUUCUCUUUGGGCCUCAAGAUGCCAACCCUGUCUCUGCUGGAAACAGGAAAUAAAAUAAAAGAAGACCCCCAGGAUCUAAGCCUUUGUUACCAGAUGAAAUCCAGGUGAAUGCUGGGUACCGGAGGGAUCGCUCCCUUCAGAGACUUCCUAGCCAGGAGUACUGUACGGCCACAUUGCCACCAGCCAGCCCCAAGGAGUCUUCAUCACAGAGUGAGAGAGCAGAUGGGAAACGUGUUUCCCAAAAGCCAAUGUCUUUAUUUCAGCAGGAAUGAAGAGAGCGGUGGAAUCUGACCUUUUGCGAUCUGUAUUGUCACCUGCCUCACAGACAUUCAGCGGGACCUGGAGAAGUGAACACAGCCAUGGGCUGUCUGGUUAGAUGCCAGCCGUUCUUGCCUUGUAAAAGUUGUGCAGAAUCUGGCUGUAGCCCAGGCCCAGGCACAUGUCCCUGCUGCAGCCAUUACAGUCAUUCACCCUCUUUCCCUGGGAAUUCUGCUCUAGAGGCAUGGGCGGCAGCUAAUGACUACACAACCAGUCUGAACAUUUAGGAGGCCAGAGCAAAGCAACCUACCACCUGAAUCAGUGCCUCCCAUACCUUGUACAAGAUCCAAUCUAGGAGUCAGUAGAUUCGGUAGUUUCAUCAAGGUAAAUAAAGGCCACCUCUCUUGAUUUGCCAGAUGAAUGUGCAGAUUUAGCAUUUUGAGGCCUUUGCAAAAACAAGUAAAAGGAUUUCUUCUUCAUGGUCGUCAUCGUGUGAUUCAUGAAAUGGACUGACAAGGAAAUUUUGAAUUAUAAAUACAGAAUAUCCUCUAGUUAUGUGGUAUACAUUGGGAGUUCACCAUAUACCUUCAAGUUCCAUUUCCAGGCUCUUCUUCAGACUGUUUAUUUACAUCAUCUUGUGUGAUGUUUUAAAGCUUGUCUGACAACAAGUAAACUAUUCUGAUGAUGCCUGCGUCUUGCAGGGUAACGUGUAAUCAUGAGACGUGUGUAUACAUUUGAUGUCCAACAACCAUGUGCCCUGUAGAGCAGUGUUACACCCAAUCGUUCCUGAUAGUUCAGUGUGAGAUGGCCCUGCCAGGAUGGUUCGAAACUGGGUCUUGUGUAGUGUUUGUGUUCCUAUUUACAUUAUUCCCAUGGAGCAUUGGAACAGGGUUCCUCCCUCAGUGAGUAGAUGCAUCAGGCUGGUAAGGAGUUGUUCAUGAACACUCUCAGGAAAGGAAGACAAAGAUGCUGCAGAAUCAUAAAAGAAAAAAUCCAAAUCAGUGAACUUUGUGUUUAGUAUUCCAAGAAAGCAAAGUCAGUAACAUGUUUAUUACUAUUUGCUAUUAAUGCCAGUUUAGUCGUGAUAACCAAACAGAGCUGUAGUGCCGUUGUUCUUAUACUUUUUAUGUCCUCAGGUUUUCCUUCAGAAGAAAUGCAAUCACAACCCUUUCACUGUCAUCUUAGCAUUGCUAGUAUGUUGUACAUUAAUUGCUAUGAGGGUUUUCUGUAUUCAUGCAUUUGAUUAGUAAUAACUUCAAUGAAUCGGUGUAUUUGUAUUUGGGAUAAUAGAUAAUGAAUGAUGACCAUAAUGAAUAUCUGCUCCUGCUGAACUCCAGUUCACCAAGAAUGUAGUGCCUUGCAAAAGGAUUCGUACUCUUCCUAUUGCUUCCCGUGUUACAAAAUGCUUCCCGUGUUAAUAUUACAAAAUGAUACGUACACAUUUUCUUUGAAACUUAAAAUCCCAUUCAGAAACUGAACUCACAAACUGAAGACAUCUAGAAGAAAGAUAAGUUACAGCGAAUGUAAGGAAAAGCUAUUGAGAAGGAAUUGAAACUGGUUAUUUCUUAAGUAUACAGACUUGUGAACUCAGUAUUUGGUGGAAGCACUUUUGGUAGCAAGUAUAGCUGCACGCUAGCCUAUACCAACCAAAGACAGCCAAAAUGUACCAAGGCAACUAAGUCUUUUAGGGUAAAACCUCUACCAACUUUGCACACUGGCUUGGGGCAGUUCCUGCCCAUUCUUCUUGGCAUAUUUGCUCAAGCUGUAUCAUGUUGCUUGAAGAAAGUUCACUUUUCUUAUUCUCAUAACUUUGCCUACAAGAAAAGCUCCAAGUCGGCUUUAACUCAUUGUCCCGUUAAAAGGUCAGUUUUAGGUCAGAAGCAGGUUUUUCUCUAAGAUAUGUCAGUACUUUCCUCCAUCUAUGUUAUCAUCACUUUUGAAAAGCUUCCAAGUCCCCACUGAUAAGUAACAGAUCUAUUGCUCACACCUGAAGAAAGCUCCACAGCCUAAACUGUGUUUUCUUUUUUUCAGCAUGGAAUAAACCUAUUACUUGUUCCUUUGCAGCCUACACAUGCUCUCGCAGCUACCCACCUGAACUACUGUAUAUACACUGCGCUUGCAGAAGUAUUUAGACCAUUUCAGUUAGCAUUUUAUUGCUUUAAAGCUUGCGGUCGUGACACUCUGAAGUAACAACUAAUGUCAUAUAAAAAAGAACUCCACACAUUGAAAGUAAAAAAAGGAAAUAAAUAACAUGGAAAAAUAGAAAAUGUCGUAAUUGCGUAAAUGUUGAAACCCACUGCCAUUGGAAACCUCAAAGUGAUGUUAAUAAGCCACUCAUUGUGCCCAGUGCCACCUGUUUGUGUGGAGUUAUAGUGGUUGACAUAAUCUCACAAUCAAUACAUCUAUCUCUGUAAAGUCCCACAGACAUAUAGUAAGUUUUGAGCAAAGAUCGUAAGGCACAGAUCAGAAGAAAGGUCUAAAAUAUAUUUUUUAAAUGUAAUCUCUCUUUGAGCAUGGUGAGGACCAUCACUAAGAAGUGGAAUUUACCCAAACACUGCCCUGAUCAAGCUGUCCCCCACUAACAGAAGAGCCAUCUGGAGGAAACUGAUAAGGCACGCAACAGUGAGACCGGCAGUGACUUCAAAAAGUUACAGAGAUCAGUGGUAGAGGUGGGAAAAGUCCGCAAUAUCCCGGUCACUCCACAAAGCUGCCCUGUGUGUGGCACAGAAGGAAACCUACAUAUUCCCACUUGGAGUUUGCAAUAGAGCAUUUAACUGAUACUGCAAACAUGGCAAAACUGGCAAAAGGUUUUUGUGGUUGGGACAAAACUGGAAAACAAAUAAAUGCAAAAGAGUUCUGUCUGUCACAAACCCAGCAUACUGUGUGUCAUUAGGUCAAUGCCACCCCUGCUGCCAAGUGUAUAUACAGUAAUCACCUGAAUGCAUUUCUGUAGUAUAGAGCAGUGUGGAUCUGUAUCUUACACCCUCGUGAUAUCUAUAGAAUUAUAAGAUUUUCAAUUCUGGUUAUUCUGAAGCUACAGUAUGCUUUGCACUGGCAAGAUGUGACUCUGGUUAAUGUUUUUUCCUUCCACCAUUUUCGUAAUGUGCCAACAAGCUUACAGGCUAAGAUAGCAGUCCUGGUCUGGGCAAGGCGAUGUGUGCGUUAGUCCCAGACAGUAUUCUCCAAAUUGAAUUGAAACAUUUGCCAGAUGUCACAAGGUUCUCCAAAUGCAACUUUUGCCUCCCUGCUCCUGCCAUCGCGAAUGAACAGAGAGGCUGAGUCUCAGCUUACACCUCCCCAGAUACUGAAAGGAAUCCGCCGGGCAUGUUCAGUUGUGGUAAAACAAGUUUCCAGGUCUGAAUUUGAUUUAGUCUUUUUCACCAUUUUUUUUUAUAUUCAAAGGUUUGUUUUGUUAAAUGUGAUGGGCAGCUGUUGUCUUCCAAGUGUGGACUUGAUAAUGGAAGUAAGAGGGUCCUGGUGGAGAAAGCCAACAUCUCAAAAGCCUAUUGACAUUUGGCAGCUCAAUCACAGUGAUCAAUAACUGUGUCAUGUCAGUGAAGAGGGGGAUACAGACAGUAAUGGAGGUUCUGUGGGUUUUUUUAAAAAAUAUUGAUUGUAAAGUUUUGAUUUCCUAAAUGAUGUAACUUUGUCCUGUUGAAAUGUUGUCUUAUGCAAAGUCACUUUUAGUUUAUUGCCUUUCAGCGUUCAUGCUCGUAUGCCUGUGGUCUAGGCCACAGAGUCAUGCUCCUAGUGUCUAAAUCUGUCCAUUCUUUAUUUUCGGUCCUCUGCAUAUCUUGUAUGUGUAAAAAUGAGUUUAACCCUUAUGCUGUUUCCUUUUCAGAAUGGUCCAAGACUGCUGGGCAGAGUGGAUCAUCAAUGUGAUUUUUUUCAGGCUGUGAUGUUUAUACUGUAUUGUUUAUUUUUUCAUUCAAGACAUUUCAAGAUG